UGCAGUCGAGCGGUAGAGAGGAGCUUGCUUCUCUUGAGAGCGGCGGACGGGUGAGUAAUGCCUAGGAAUCUGCCUGGUAGUGGGGGAUAACGUUCGGAAACGGACGCUAAUACCGCAUACGUCCUACGGGAGAAAGCAGGGGACCUUCGGGCCUUGCGCUAUCAGAUGAGCCUAGGUCGGAUUAGCUAGUUGGUGAGGUAAUGGCUCACCAAGGCGACGAUCCGUAACUGGUCUGAGAGGAUGAUCAGUCACACUGGAACUGAGACACGGUCCAGACUCCUACGGGAGGCAGCAGUGGGGAAUAUUGGACAAUGGGCGAAAGCCUGAUCCAGCCAUGCCGCGUGUGUGAAGAAGGUCUUCGGAUUGUAAAGCACUUUAAGUUGGGAGGAAGGGCAGUUGCUUAAUACGUAACUGUUUUGACGUUACCGACAGAAUAAGCACCGGCUAACUCUGUGCCAGCAGCCGCGGUAAUACAGAGGGUGCAAGCGUUAAUCGGAAUUACUGGGCGUAAAGCGCGCGUAGGUGGUUUGUUAAGUUGGAUGUGAAAUCCCCGGGCUCAACCUGGGAACUGCAUUCAAAACUGACUGACUAGAGUAUGGUAGAGGGUGGUGGAAUUUCCUGUGUAGCGGUGAAAUGCGUAGAUAUAGGAAGGAACACCAGUGGCGAAGGCGACCACCUGGACUGAUACUGACACUGAGGUGCGAAAGCGUGGGGAGCAAACAGGAUUAGAUACCCUGGUAGUCCACGCCGUAAACGAUGUCAACUAGCCGUUGGAAGCCUUGAGCUUUUAGUGGCGCAGCUAACGCAUUAAGUUGACCGCCUGGGGAGUACGGCCGCAAGGUUAAAACUCAAAUGAAUUGACGGGG
rnacentral:rRNA from 1 species